rnacentral:tRNA from 1 species
UAAAGGUUAGUUUAAUUUAAAAUUUUGGUCUGUGGAACCGGAGAUAACAUUUGCAGUUGCCUUUGA